AAGUCGUAACAAGGUCUCCGUUGGUGAACCAGCGGAGGGAUCAUUACAGAGUUGCAAAACUCCCAACCAUUGUGAACCUACCUCACCGUUGCUUCGGCGGGUGGCUCCCACCGGGGCCGCGUCGGCCCCCGUGCCGGCAGCCCGUCAGAAGACCAAAACUCUUCGUCAUCAGUGGCCUCUCUGAGUAACUUAUACAAUAAGUCAAAACUUUCAACAACGGAUCUCUUGGUUCUG
rnacentral:misc_RNA from 1 species